GCUCAGAGUAUAAGCCAAUGGAGCUUGGAAGGCUUCCGCAGCGGCGUGCAUCAUGCGUGGUGUAUCGAAUGAUCAGAGCGCGGUUCGUCAGGCGGCAGAUUGAGUUUGCCGCUUAGCUGUCGUACGGGGGGACGCGUCGGGGGUCUGAGGCUUCGGCCGAGGAGCUCUCGGCUCUUCUUAAGAAUGGACGUUCAGAGCUAUUGGUCUAAUGCGGAUAUGCCCACCACGGCACGUUGUGAGGUCACCCACAGGCUCAACUGCCGAUCGCGUAUCCAGGACGAUGGCAACGAUGCGUAGUUCUGCUCGGAAACGAGUUAUCACGCGUGUCUAGUCCUGGGUCGGGCGGCGACCGAGAUAAACCUGGUAUGAUCCUCUAGCGACGAGCUGCUUUCUGGCCAGACCGACGUCCGGGCGCUUCCACUGUGCCGGAAGUGUCAAUCCCAGGCGGUUUGUUCCCUGCUGCAUUCUGCAAGGUCUCUCAGCCGGGCGUUGGUCUGAGUGGUGUUAAGUCCAGCACCAUCGGUCACGUCUCGAAACACGGGCCAAGGAGUAUAGCAUGUGUGCAAGUCUAAGGGUCACAUAAAACCCGAAGGCGAAGUGAAAGCGAGACCGAGGCGGGGGAGCUUCGGCGAACCCGCCGGCCUUGAGGCGCGCGCCCUGCCUGCGUCGUGCGCUCUUUUGAGUGCUAGCGUGCGGGUGGGUGUGUGUGCGCAGCCCGGCUUUUGUCAGAGCUGAUCCUGUUUUCACGGUAAAUUCUUGGUGCAGGCGCAAGCUCCGGGCUCACGCAUAACACUGGUCGCCUCG
rnacentral:rRNA from 1 species